ACGAGUUUUAACGCUCAAAACCCACUGUGAUUUGUACCCGUUGUUGCUUUGGCAGGCGGUCCCAGGGCGGGACCUCUGCUUCGGCGCCUGCCAAAGAACAAUCAAGACUCUUUUUACCUGUUACUCUGAGUAAAGACCAAAUUAUCA
rnacentral:misc_RNA from 1 species